AGUGAACGCUGGCGGUAGGCCUAACACAUGCAAGUCGAACGGCAGCACAGUAAGAGCUUGCUCUUACGGGUGGCGAGUGGCGGACGGGUGAGGAAUACAUCGGAAUCUACUUUUUCGUGGGGGAUAACGUAGGGAAACUUACGCUAAUACCGCAUACGACCUACGGGUGAAAGCAGGGGAUCUUCUGACCUUGCGCGAUUGAAUGAGCCGAUGUCGGAUUAGCUAGUUGGCGGGGUAAAGGCCCACCAAGGCGACGAUCCGUAGCUGGUCUGAGAGGAUGAUCAGCCACACUGGAACUGAGACACGGUCCAGACUCCUACGGGAGGCAGCAGUGGGGAAUAUUGGACAAUGGGCGCAAGCCUGAUCCAGCCAUACCGCGUGGGUGAAGAAGGCCUUCGGGUUGUAAAGCCCUUUUGUUGGGAAAGAAAAGCAGCAGGUUAAUACCCCGCUGUUCUGACAGUACCCAAAGAAUAAGCACCGGCUAACUUCGUG
rnacentral:rRNA from 1 species